GACGAACGCUGGCGGCGUGCCUAAUACAUGCAAGUCGAACGCAGUUGCGAACGGGUGAGUAACGUGUCGGUAACUGCCUCAUAGCGGGGGAUAACUAUUGGGAACGAUUGCUAAUUCCGCAUACUUUGACAUGGAUCUGCUUUGCUUUAGGUAGUUGGUGAGGUUAAGGGUCACCAAGGCGACGAUACAUAGUCGGCCUGAGAGGGUGAACGGCCAAAACGGGACUGAGACACGGCCCAGACUCCUACGGGGGGCAGCAAUAGGGAAAUUUUGGAAAUGGGCGGAAGGCUGGACGAGGAACGCCGCGGGAGAGAAGAAGGUUUUCGGAUCGGAAAGGUCCGUUGAUAGAGAAGCGGUAACUAACCAAAAAGCGACGGCUAACUACGUGCCAGCAGCCGCGGUAAUUC
rnacentral:rRNA from 1 species